ACAACGGCUGUGUUAGAUUUGAGACAACACUACCCUGUCAAAAAUUCACACAUUAUGCAAUUAAGUACAUGUUGUACACAUUGUACUACAUGGAAGUGUACUACCAGAAGUAUCGAAACUGAGACACACUGCCAGAGACAGAUAAAUAGAAGAGAGAGAUGGAUAGAGGAUAGUGAUCAACACUAUUAUUGUUUAAGCAUCUACUGGGUGUCCUGUUGGUGUGGUCUCCAUGUGUGGCAUGGGGUGCAUUGCAUGGUGAUGGGCUGAUGGUAUACAGGUGUGCUUUGGUGUGACCUCCAAUCUGUGGUUACUUAACCAGCCACACACACACUAGAGUCAGUCAGUUUGCUUGCCUCCUCUUGUGUGCAGAUAUAGACUUUAAUGGUUGUAUCUGAUGUAGUUUUUAAGUGUUUUUCCUUGUGCCAGUAUAAGAAUCUGAGUGUUUAUUGUGGCGGUGUGCUGAAUCUGCUGCUGGUUUUCCACUACAUGAAACAGCUGGGUGGAUGUCUGGAGAGCUGCAAGGUGCAGUGUAGCAGCUGGUUAGCAGAGCCACCAGAAAACACAGUCCAACAACAUUGAUGCAGCAACCGACCAGUCACAAACCAGUGACCAGCAACAGCACAGCGGUUCUUGGCGUGAUAGGUUUGGCUUCACCAUAUGCAGGGAAGAGAAGUUGAGCACAAGCAGCCACAAACAUCCUAUUGACCCCUAUCCAACUGACUCUUUGCUCCCCUGGCUUUGGUCUUGUUUUAGCUUUAUUUAUUAGAAGCUAUCCAUUAAAAUAGUUAUUUUUUAACUACA